GGAUCCAGACUUUGAUCAUGGCUCAGGAUGAACGCUGGCGGCAUGCCUAAGACAUGCAAGUCGAACGAAGUGGCCCAUUGAAGAUUGAGUGCUUGCACGAUUUCGGAUUUGGAUUCCCACUUAGUGGCAGACGGGUGAGUAACACGUGGGUAACCUACCCUGAAGACUGGGAUAACUACUGGAAACGGUAGCUAAUACCGGAUAACUCAUAAUUAGAUAACUAGUUAUGCUAAAAGGAGCGUUUGCUUCACUUCAGGAUGGGCUUGCGUUGUAUUAGCUAGUUGGUGGGGCAAUGGCCUACCAAGGCAACGAUGCAUAUCCGAGCUGAGAGGCUGAUCGGACACAUUGGGACUGAGACACGGCCCAGACUCCUACGGGAGACAGCAGUUAGGAAUAUUCGUCAAUGGGGGAAACCCUGAACGAGCAAUGCCGCGUGAGUGAUGAAGGUCUUAUUGAUCGUAAAACUCUGUUGUAAAGGAAGAACUCUUAUCAUAGGAAAUGAUGAUAAGUUGACGGUACUUUACCAGAAAGCCCCGGCUAACUACGUGCCAGCAGCCGCGGUAAUACGUAGGGGGCGAGCGUUAUCCGGAUUUAUUGGGCGUAAAGCGUGUGUAGGCGGUUUGUUAAGUAUAAGAUUAAAGCCCGGGGCUUAACUCCGGUUCGUCUUAUAAACUGGCAGGCUUGAGUGUGGUAGAGGCAAGUGGAAUUUCUAGUGUAGCGGUUAAAUGCGUAGAUAUUAGAAGGAACACCAGUGGCGAAGGCGGCUUGCUGGGCCAUUACUGACGCUGAGACACGAAAGCGUGGGGAGCAAAUAGGAUUAGAUACCCUAGUAGUCCACGCCGUAAACGAUGAGUACUAAGUGUCGGGAAACCGGUGCUGAAGUUAACACAUUAAGUACUCCGCCUGAGUAGUACGGUUGCAAGGCUGCAACUCAAAGGAAUUGACGG
rnacentral:rRNA from 2 species